rnacentral:rRNA from 1 species
CGGCCGCGUCGACCGGGGCCCGCACAAGCAUCGGAGCAUGUGGCUUAAUUCGACGCAACGCGAAGAACCUUACCAAGGCUUGACAUGCAGGGAAAUCCUCCAGAGAUGGGGGUCCGUAAGGGUCCUGCACAGGUGGUGCAUGGUUGUCGUCAGCUCGUGUCGUGAGAUGUUGGGUUAAGUCCCGCAACGAGCGCAACCCUCGUUCUAUGUUGCCAGCGCGUGAUGGCGGGGACUCAUAGGAGACUG